rnacentral:lncRNA from 1 species
CUUAAUUUAACAUUCACAGAGAAAAUUUAAAUAUUCAGUGCUUGUGCAUAAAUUCUUUGAUCCCUGCAAAAAGUUUUUCUGUUUCUUUUGCUGUAUUUGGAUCCAUGUCAACAGCAAUCUUGUUCAAAUAAAAGCUGUGCCCUACUCCAUGAUUGAUCAGCAGUUCCACUUCUUUGUUAGCCCUUUUCAUGGCCUCAUAGAAUUCCAUUUCAGUGUCCUGGAUCAAAUCCUGAUCCGCCACGCAGUACAGAUAUGGCGGCAGAUUCAGGUUCUGUAGCGGCGGCGCCGCCUCCCCCAUUGGACAAGUUAUGGGGUGGUCCUUGUUGCUUCCAAUAGGCAAAGCCAUGUUUAAAAACUUGUCCACCAUGUUGCGAGUUAGAAAGGGCGAUUCCGGUUGUUCCAUCUCCGAUUUGCUCCGCCUUGAACGGACGAAACCGGGGUGGAUUGGAAUCGCGCCAACUAGUUUAAGCGGAGUCAAGUUUUCAUUUCCAGCACGCGCCGCCACCUGGUGUACUAUGUUGCCACCGGAGCUGUCUCCUACUAAGAAAACGCGUCCAAAAUCUACAUGGUCAUUGAACCAGGGCUCGUAGGCCUUGCCCUGUGCUAAAGAGCGAAGCCAGAGGAGUGCAUCGAACCCGUCGUCACAGGCGGCAGGGAGGCGGUGCUCUGGAGCACGACGGAGGUAUACAGAAACAACUAUGGCUCGAGUUAUACGAGCCAGGCGGGUGUAAACAGCAUAGUACAUGUACCAGUCAGCCUGGCUAAUGCAAAAUCCACCACCGUGGAAGUGAAGUAAUAUAGGAAGUUUGUCCAUGUCUUCUACGUUCUUUUCGGGUAAAUAAAUUCGUACCUUUUGGCCCGAAUCUGCAUCGAUAAUGAUGUCUUUCAUAGCAAUUCCAUCUACAAAGUCAUUGUGUGGCAAUACAGGAUCUGCCAUGAACUGGACCUCAGGUGG